CGAACGGGUGCGUAACACGUGAGCAACCUACCUAGGUGUGGGGGAUAGCCGGCCCAACGGCCGGGUAAUACCGCAUACGCUCUUCUUUAGGCAUUUAGAGGAGAGGAAACCUUCGGGGCACUAUGAGGGGCUCGCGGCCUAUCAGCUAGUUGGCGAGGUAAUGGCUCACCAAGGCUACGACGGGUAGCUGGUCUGAGAGGAUGGCCAGCCACAUUGGGACUGAGAAACGGCCCAG
rnacentral:rRNA from 1 species